UUCCACAGCUACUGGUCUGCAUCUUAUAGCAGCAGCUGUAGCAUCCCUCUGUGGGAAAGAAAAUGUUACACAAUUUAAUGCUUCUUUCUUAGCCACACAGAAAGAGGAAUAUGUUGACAGACACAA